rnacentral:rRNA from 1 species
GAUGAACGCUGGCGGCGUGCCUUACACAUGCAAGUCGAGCGAGGGCUUUUUGUUGGGGCAACCCAACGAGAAGUUCCUAGCGGCAAACGGGUGAGUAAUGGAUGGGUAACCUACCCUAAAGACGGGGAUAGCCUUCUGAAAGGAAGGGUAAUACCCGAUAAUGUUAACAGAUUUUUGUCUGUUAAAGAAAGAUGGCCUCUAUUUUAUGCUAUCACUUCUGGAGGGGCUCAUCUCCUAUCAGCUUGUUGGCGAGGUAAUGGCUCACCAAGGCUACGACGGGUAGCUGGUCUGAGAGGAUGGUCAGCCACAUUGGGACUGAGACACGGCCAGACUCCUACGGGAGGCAGCAGUGGGGAAUAUUGGUCAAUGGGCGAAAGCCUGAACCAGCGACGCCGCGUGGAGGAUGAAGGCCGCAAGGUCGUAAACUCCUUUUAUAAAGGAAAAAGGGAUAGAUUUCAAAUAGGAAUUUAUUCUUGAUGGUACUUUAUGAAUAAGCCCCAGCCAACUACGUGCCAGCAGCUGCGGUAAUACGUAGGGGGCAAGCGUUAUCCGGAAUUACUGGGUGUAAAGGGUAUGCAGGCGGAUCAAUAAGUUGGGUGUAAAAACUCAGGGCUUAACUCUGAGCUCGCAUUCAAAACUGUUGAUCUGGAGAGCAAGAGAGGGAGGUGGAAUUCCAGGUGUAGCGGUAAAAUGCUUAGAUAUUUGGAAGAACACCAGUGGCGAAAGCGGCUUUCUAGCUUGUCUCUGACGCUCAUAUACGAAAGCUAGGGUAGCAAACAGGAUUAGAUACCCUGGUAGUCCUAGCCGUAAACGAUGGAUGCUUGGUGUUGGGAAGGUUACUUCUCAGUGCCGGAGCUAACGCGUUAAGCAUCCCACCUGGGAAGUACGACCGCAAGGUUAAAACUCAAAGGAAUUGACG